UGAAUGAAUCCGGAAUUGAGGAAGAAGAUUGGAAUUGUUGAGAUUUGUUUCAAAACGUGGAUAAAUGUAUGUUUGAAUUUAAUAUUAUUAAUUAUUAAUGUUUACUUGUACUAUCAGUUUAAUGGUUUGACCGUCUUAAAAAAAUAAUAUUAUUAUAUUAUAGAAAUAAUAUGAUUUCUUUUAUAAGAUAGUAAAGAUAUAUACCAUAGUGAAUGUAAUAAGAAGCCAAGUUUCCCAAUAUUUAUAUUGAUAUCUUACAAGUUUUCAUCACAAGAUUAGUAAAAUGAUGAACACUAGAUCUAUUCUUGCUAUAGUUGUUGCAAUGAUGUUACUUUUGGGUGAUGUGCACGCUCAAGAGUGUAAUCCUAAUGAAUAUAUAAAGGAUUGUUAUAUAGCUCUAAUUGUAAAAAGUUCACCAUCUCCAAUUUGUUGUGAAGAAUUAGAUCACCACAAAAAUUGCCUAUGCAAAUACAUGGACAUUAAUCAGGUUUUAUUGCCACCACACUACCAAUAUCUCCCCAAUCUUGUUGAUACUUGUGGCGUCUUCUUUCCUGUUUGUGAAUUAGGGUUGUAGUUUGGUUGUGUUAUCAUUACAUCAAUACAAAUUACAUAUUUAUGAAUAAAUUCAUUUUCUUCAUGUUUUAAUUUGAAUUUUUUUAACUUUCCUUUUGGUGACAUUAGUGUUUGUGUUCAUAUAUGCAACACACUUUUAAUUUAUUAUAACAAACAAUACGUUAGUAAGUCUUUGUUUUUGUUACGGGAGUGAAGUGGGUUUAAGUGAUUUUAUUGAUUGUAUCUUCGAUAUUUUAGUUUUCAAUUCACAUUGAAUAUAUGUUAAAACAUGAAUUUGAAAUGUGUUUCGGUGAAUACUUAAUACCAUGGUGCCUCCAAUGUUUAAAACAAGUUGAAAUUAACUAUUUUCUUGAAUAGUAUCCUAAAGUGACAUUACAGUUGAAAUUUCUCAUCACUUUUCUCCCACGUGCCUAAUAUCAUAUGCAAAAUUCAGGUCAUCUCCAAGCUGAUCUUCUAACAAUUAGAGACCAUUAUUGGCUGCAAUAUGGUCUCACCCUUUAGCUCUUAUUAAACAUCCACUAUUUAAAGCCUUUCAUUAUUACUAAUGCCUUACUUUGAUAUACUUAGCAAUUCGUUUUGACUUGAUUACUUGAACCAUUUUUAUUCCAAAUAUAUCUAAAAUGUAUUUUUGUGCUUGGGAACAUGUUGAACCACAGUGACUAUUGAUCAAUGUUUUAAAAUUCAACAUAUGCAGCCACCAAGGUGUUUGAUGGGAUCUUAUUGUCUUUGAUCAAUGCUAAUUGUUCUUAUAAAUCAGAGUCGAUCCUUGCCGGUCCAAUAUGCACUAAAAAUCAUUCGAUCAAACUUUUCAAAAUAAUUUCUAAAUUAAUCAAACUUAUAAUAAUCGUUAGUGACUAAAAUUAUCAAAAAUGUCAUCUAUUAGUUAAAACAAUUUUAUUUUUAAUUGCUUAAAUAUUUAAACUCUUGUUAGUGUUUUGACAACAUGUGACCGCCCGACUACUGCUUAAGGACUUUUAUAACCUUUUUUUUGUAUCAUCAUAUCGUGUAUUGAUCAUACAUAUUUUAAAUUAAAAUAACUAAUCAUACUACAACAUAUUGGUAUUAAAUCACCUCCAUACUAAUAAACAGUAGAAGCAAAACCAUUGGGAAAAUAAGGCAUUGAUGGAUCCCUGAAAUCUGGAAUCAAAGGAUUGACCGAGUGAGGAUCUAUCUAAAGGUUGGUUUUGACCAUUCAAAGUGCUACUCUACUUGAAUCCAAAAAGGCUACAUGGGAAAGACAUGAAAUUAAAACAUGAAAAUUGAACUUAGCAUAUCAUAGUACUGCAUGCCUAUUGCUCCCCUUCUUUGAGGGAUCACGGAUUUCCAAUGAUAGAUUCUUCAAAAAAUAGCCUGCUUCUAUAACAGAAUAAGUUGAAUAAGUUAAACAGAAUAAAUUAUGAAGUAUAAACAUUUGAUAGCAAACAGUAAAUCUACCUAACUUAUGAAAAAGUUAAAGAGAUAUACUUCAUACAUCAUUUUCAUUGAGUUUGAAUCAUACGAGACAUUACACCAAUUCUCUGAUACACAUGGUACCCACAAAUUGCAUAAAUUUUAAACACGGAAGUACAAAAGUAAUGGUUGUUGUAGAGAAACAUACCUAAUAACUGCCGAGAGAGAUCAAGCCCACCAGUGCUAAACAACAAAAACUGUAGACCAGGAAAUAAUAGAUCGAAAAAAAAUACUCUUAGAUCGGAAAAACCUAAAUUAGAAAAACAAUAACCCUAAUUUCAUCGAAGAUGAUGAAGAUCAGUUUUUUUUGGAGAAGGAGAUCUUAAAUUACAUACAAGAUCAGUAGGUGCGGAUUCAUCCUUUCUAGAGACCUUGUGUAGGGUGUCACCGUUGUCGUAGACGAUUGUUAUCUGAAAAAAAGGAAUACAAAGAAAAGUGAAUACGACAGGGAAUGUGAGAAAUCGUGAAUAAGGUUGCAUAUGAUGGGGUUGAGAACUUGUACCCACAUUUAAGGAUAUUUAAGCCUGUAGACUUCAUAUUUUGAAAAUUGAAUCAACAUAUCAUAAGACAUUUAAGGAUAUUUGCUGGAGCGUAUUUGGAUCUACAAAGGUUUUAAAUUUUGAAUGAAUCCGGAAUUGAGGAAGAAGAUUGGAAUUGUUGAGAUUUGUUUCAAAAUGUGGAUACAUGUAUGUUUGAAUUUAAUAUUAUUAAUUAUUAAUGUGUACUUGUACUAUCAGCUUAAUGGUUUGGACGUCUUAAAAAAAUAAUAUUAUUAUAUUAUAGAAAUAAUAGGAUUUCUUUUAUAAGAUAGUAAAGAUAUAUACCAUAGUGAAUGUAAUAAGAAGCCAAGUUUCCCAAUAUUUAUAUUGAUAUCUUUCAAGUUUUUAUCACAAGAUUAGUAAAAUGAUGGACACUAGGUCUAUUCUUGCUAUAGUUGUUGCAAUUAUGUUUCUUUUGGGUGAUGUGCACGCUCAAGAGUGUAAUCCUAAUGAAGAUAUGAAGGAUUGUUAUACAGCUCUAAUAGUAAAAGGUUCACCAUCUCCAAUUUGUUGUGAAGAAUUAGAUCACCACAGAAAUUGCCUAUUCAAAUACAUAGACAUUAAUCAGAUUUUAUUGCCACCGCACUACCAAUAUCUCCCCAAUCUUGUCGAUACUUGUGGCGUCUUCUUUCCUGUUUGUGAAUUAAGGUUGUAGUUUGUUUGUGUUAUCAUUACAUCAAUACAAGUUACAUAUUUAUGAAUAAAUUCAUUUUCUUCAUGUUUUAGUUUGAAUUUUUUUACCUUUACUUUUGGUGAUAUUAGUGUUUGUGUUCAUAUAUGCAACACACUUUUAAUUUAUUAUAACGAACAAUACGUUAGU
rnacentral:lncRNA from 1 species